rnacentral:lncRNA from 1 species
UGUGGGGCCCCGCCCAGUUUCUUGGCACAUCCUGACAACACUGCCAGCAUUAUGUUCCAAGAGCUUCCAAGGAAUAUCUUUCAAAAAGGCAAAGAUACAUUUUUCACACUGGCACUUACAUCUAUUAGGUAACUAAUCAGCAAUGACGGCAGUAGGUACUGUCUCUAACUACCUACACACCAUGUCACCCCUGAAGAAAGGCAAAAGUCAGUACCAAAAAAUGUCCACUCGAAGGAAUCAAGAGGAAAAAGAAUGGGCUGGGGAAGCGAGGGGGAGCGGACAGAGAA